rnacentral:lncRNA from 1 species
UAUAAUAUGUGCAAUAGAAGGACAACACACAAUUAGCUUGAUGUUAUCACACAAAAGAAAAACAAAUAAAAAUUACAAAUUUACCAGCAAAUCAUUUUCACUUCGAACUCCCUCCUUCAUCUUGAAUCGGAUUCUAAGUAGUUGCAAUUGAACCACUCUUUUCAAACCAACUUACAUGAACUCGUUAGAUUUCUCUGCUGAAAACUUCAGUCCAACAAAUGAAUUAAUGUAAUCAUCAAAGUCAAAAGUUCCACAAUAUCAUAAAAAUAACUUUGGAUAACUUAUUUGCAUUAUCGGCAUUCCUCAACCACGGUUGAUGGAUGUUAGAUUGUUGUAUCACUUCAUGCUUCCUAAAUUAUCAACAUCCUCAAAUUUUCCAGCCAAGACUAAUUCCUAAAUGCAUACGAUAUAAUACAAAUAUUUACAUAAAAUAAGAGAGGAUACAAUGCCAAAAUUUGAUGUUAAAGACCAAACAGGAUAAAUUUACAAAUUAUGUACGUUUAUUCUAAAAAAACAAUAUGGAUGAGCGCAUAUACCUUCAGAGUCUUAUUUUCAUUUGAGGAUGCAAUUAGCUCGCUAAAUUGCCGUAUUAAUCAUACAAUAGCUAUUUUGACCAAUCUGUCUUACAUAGCUUGAGCAAAACAUAUUAUUGAUUAAAGAUAAAGUUAGGAUAAAUAGGUUUGAUUUGGAGUUCAAACUUUGAUGGUGUUCAAAGAUAGUCCUCAAGUAAAGAAUGUUUGAAGUCUAAUAGUAGAGAAACUAUCUUCUAUAUAGUAAACUGUUGGGUAGAUACAGAGAAAGCUUUGAGGAUGAUCCCAAAUGACUGCACAACAGUAACAAAUGAUUAUUCUCUUUAAAUCAGGUCUAGAAAUUCACAAAUAUAAUUUUUUGUUUUUGCCUUGGUGUAUGCUAUUUGCUGAUGACAUAGUAUUGAUAGAUGAGAC